CCUUUCUCUUCCUCUGCACGCCCAACUAAAACGAUCCUAAAGCAAGCAGACGAUAGAACAGUUUCAGCACCAUGGACAGAUUCACUUCGGUUGCUGAUAUUAAAAAGAGCAACGUGAACUCAGAAAUGAUACUUAUCAUAUCUACUCAGAAAUGAUACAUAACAUAUAGCCAACAUGUUUAAGAAAACAUUUAUGAAUAUUAUGUUAUUUAAAUAUUAUGCUCCCCAUUACUCCUAAUUAUAAGCAGCUACCUGGUGGUAAUACAUUUUUUUAUUUUUUGUCAGACCAAGAAAUAUUUUACUAGGCAUAGGCAUAAAUAAUAGGCUAGAUAAAUUCGAGUAUUGGUACGUAACGAAACUCACGAAUAAUACAAAAAAUAUGACAGCUGUAUAAAAGCUGUAAAAAUAGCUUUUACAUUUUUUUGUGGAAUUAAGGAUGAUGCCGAGGAACAGUUCGAUUAAAAUUUUUGGCCAUCUUAAGAGCUGUGGAAGAAUACAUUACAAUAAAAUCAUUCAUGUGACCUGUAAUAUAAGAUAAUGGUUUCCCUUUUACUCGACAGGUGAAACAAUUAUUAUUGUCCAGCCUAUACCUAGUCCUGGUCCAGAAAUCUGCAGUGAAUCUAAACCAGAUGCAAAAUGACUUUGGGGCGGUGAUUCAGAAGAACUGCAUCAGGGAAGGGAGGCUCAGAUGUCCCUAUUUUGAUCCAGCCCAGUUCCACUGUCAACACCUCAGAGUCUAUGCAUUUCGCAGCCAGCCAGUCCAUGUACAACACCCAGAAAUGAGCCACCUGCCUGGUCCUGGUCCCGGUCAUUACUGAGGGUCCUGCUGAUGGACUCUAACGGCCCCUGAUGUAGUGUGCAAAACUCAUAUUGGUCAACCACUGCUUUUAGUUUUGCUAAAGCAAUUCAAGUAAUGAUAUUAGAUCCUAAUUCUGUCAUUUAUAUAAAUUUUUAUCCUUUUGUUACUUUUUUUUUUUUUGUAGGCUCAGAUGUCCCAUUUUGAUCCAGCCCAGUUCCACUGUCAACACCUCAGAGUCUAUGCAUUUCGCAGCCAGCCAGUCCAUGUACAACACCCAGAAAUGAGCCACCUGCCUGGUCCUGGUCCCGGUCAUUACUGAGGGGUCCUGCUGAUGGACUCUAAGGCCCCUGAUGUAGUGUGCUGACGGCAGGGCAUCACGGCACCAGGACUAAACUGUGCCACUGCGCCAUACCCUGACUCUGACCCACUGGAAUCGAGUGGCAGUUUGCCAAAAGACAAAGAAGCCUCUGCCAAUCUCAUCUGUGUCUCCAUUGGUGUGUAUGUCUGUCUGUUCGUAUAUAACUACACGUUCAUUUCAAAAUAAUAUAGUUAUGAGGCUGGUGCCACUGGGCAGUGCUCCAGCUGGGAAGUGGGUUUUACUUUUGGGGUUUGUUUCUUUUUGGUUCUGGCUAUUUAUUUCAUUUUUUAAAGCUCGUUAGAAGCAUGGACAUGAGUGGAAUGAUCAUGUGAGUGCAUGCAAAGCAAUAACAGCAUGCCACUACUAUACAGCAUAGGAACGUGCAAGAACCCCUCCCACUUAUCUUCAUCCAAAUGCGGAGCCACAACAUGGCACCUUUUUUUUUUUUUUGUCUUCUUUAGAUGGCAGUGUUUUCCGUUCUCAAGUUUGCAGUCAUCUGUUACAUUUGCAUUAUAUUGCAUUUAGUUUAAGAUCAAACUGGUCAAUCGUACGCAAAUGACAUUACAUGGUUGCGUAACGACUUUUUCUGACCAAAGCGAAGGCAGACGCCUCAAACGUCAGCUGACGUGCCGUGUGCAAUGGUCAUAUAUUUCCCUAAAAUCAGAACACUUGAAUAUGCUGGUAAAAGUUAUUUUUUUUUAAGGCACUUUUUUCCACUGCCUUCAUUGGAGGCUUCUAAUGCAAAUCUAAUGGCUUCAGCCCUUACAACUUCACUGCUGCGAAAGCUAAAAUAUCUUUAAUUGUGAAGUUUUCAUUUGUUCAAAGGUGCUGAAAUGGGAUCAACCCUAUUUUUGGUGAACGCUUUGCCAAAUCGAGCAAACCUUUGCUUUCUUUGUGCUCUUAGGACAUAUGAUGACAAAACGCAAAUAUUUUUAAUGAUCUUAUUUAUUUUUAAUAUAUCAUAAUUGAGAUUAAUGUGUAUGACAUGUUCUGAGUGAAAUGAUGCACUGUGUUAACUUGAUUUCAGAAUUUGGAUCUGCAAGAGCCUCAUGGUUUUAGCAAUAAGGAAAUGCCCGUUGUGUUAAAUGUGAAGGACUCAAAUAGUUACUGUUAGAAACACUA
rnacentral:lncRNA from 1 species